GACGAACGCUGGCGGCAGGCCUAACACAUGCAAGUCGAGCGGAUGAGGAAAGCUUGCUUUUCGAUUCAGCGGCGGACGGGUGAGUAAUGCCUAGGAAUCUGCCUGUUAGUGGGGGAUAACUCGGGGAAACUCGGGCUAAUACCGCAUACGUCCUACGGGAGAAAGUGGGGGAUCUUCGGACCUCACGCUAACAGAUGAGCCUAGGUCGGAUUAGCUAGUAGGUGAGGUAAUGGCUCACCUAGGCGACGAUCCGUAACUGGUCUGAGAGGAUGAUCAGUCACACUGGAACUGAGACACGGUCCAGACUCCUACGGGAGGCAGCAGUGGGGAAUAUUGGACAAUGGGCGAAAGCCUGAUCCAGCCAUGCCGCGUGUGUGAAGAAGGUCUUCGGAUUGUAAAGCACUUUAAGUUGGGAGGAAGGGUAUUCACCUAAUACGUGGAUACUUUGACGUUACCAACAGAAUAAGCACCGGCUAACUCUGUGCCAGCCGCCGCAGUAAUAC
rnacentral:rRNA from 1 species